rnacentral:rRNA from 1 species
GACGAACGCUGGCGGCGUGCUUAACACAUGCCAGUCGAACGGAAAGGCCCUGCUUUUGUGGGGUGCUCGAGUGGCGAACGGGUGAGUAACACGUGAGUAACCUGCCCUUGACUUUGGGAUAACUUCAGGAAACUGGGGCUAAUACCGGAUAGGAGCUCCUGCUGCAUGGUGUGGGUUGGAAAGUUUCGGCGGUUGGGGAUGGACUCGCGGCUUAUCAGCUUGUUGGUGGGGUAGUGGCUUACCAAGGCUUUGACGGGUAGCCGGCCUGAGAGGGUGACCGGCCACAUUGGGACUGAGAUACGGCCCAGACUCCUACGGGAGGCAGCAGUGGGGAAUAUUGCACAAUGGGCGGAAGCCUGAUGCAGCAACGCCGCGUGCGGGAUGACGGCCUUCGGGUUGUAAACCGCUUUCGCCUGUGACGAAGCGUGAGUGACGGUAAUGGGUAAAGAAGCACCGGCUAACUACGUG